CUGGUUUCACACCAGGAGAGGCAAGCUGAGAAGACCUGAGGCUAAUUCCUCCCUUCCACCACAUGCUCAACUCCUAAACAGGGCUAUCACUCUGAAAGAAGCACACCAUUGUCCCCAGCCCAGCUCCAGAGCCCUGGCUGGGGGAUUUUGCCCGGGACAGAAGCAGGCUGUAAAACAGAUAGGUCCUAAACUCUUUCCAAAGGAACUGACUAUCUGCAACAGAGGGUGGAGAAGUUCAAGCCUAAGGCUGCUCUCAAAAACUGGAGUUUGUGAAAGGGAACUUGGAGGAGGUUGGUAGAGCCGGCGAAGAUGCAGUCUAAAGUGUAAACCGGCUAGUUUGCAGGGGAGAACCAGGGAAAGAGUCAGCUGGGAGGAGCCCUCCUGAGGUCAGAAUACUACAGGGGCUACUCCUUCAAAGGAGCCUAAGCCUGUAGAGCCAUUGAUGCCCCUGAGCCUUGCUGUAAACAAUAGAGCGAUCAGCUGGCAAUUAAUGGAGCUUAAUAGCUGGAUGUGGUCAGGGAAAGAGAUGAAGGGCGCCUAGCCCAAAUCAUUGCCAUCCCAGGGCGUCUGUGGGCAUACCCUGAACUACGCUCCCUGCAGAGCAACACCAGGGGGUUAACACUUCAAGUGAGCGGAGGGAAGGCUUCACCAAAAUAAGCCAGCCAGUCACCAAACAUACAAGCAAAUAACAAGCCUGGGGCAGUGGGGGGCAGAGGAGGGGGGUGCCGUGAACCAGGACCAAGAGUUGCUACAAUACAUUAUCUAAAGUGUCCAGUUUCCAAGAAAAAUUUAUGAGACAAGCAAAGAAGCAGGAAAGCCCGACUCUUAGACUGGAAAAUGGAGUCAGCAGGAACUGCCCUGUGCCAGUGGCCGUAUGUCGGAUAUAACAAAGCCUAAAAGCAGCCCUGAGGAGGACACUGUCAAAUUCAAAUACAGAGGCAGACACAGCAGAAUUAGUGCUGGAAAGCAUCUGCUCCACCGGGAAUGAUGAAGGCCCCUGGUGGCCUCGGUGGGGACAGUUUCAGUGGUGCAGUAGGAGAAGAAACCAGACGAAGAGAGAAAUGGAGACAGCACAGACUUCCCCUACCAAGAACUCGGAUGAAAAGAAAAGAGAGUAGCUAAGAAAGUGCCUGCUGUGGCCCAGGUUCCUCACCAGGUCAGGGAACCACACCACCUGUCUGGGGGUCAUCAUACUGUGGCAGCUGUGUGUUGCUGUGAUGCUGAAAGCUAUGCCACCACUAUCUCAAAUACCACCAGGGUCACCCAUGGUGGACAGGUUUCAGCAGAGCUUCCCACCUCUGGAAAAGUUGGUCAUGAAAACCCUAUGAACAGCACCAGAGCAUCGUCUGACAGAGUGCUGGAAGGUGAGAGGAUGGCGCAAAAAGACCGAAAAGGGUCCAGCCCUGGUGUCCACAGGGUUGCUAGGAGUCUGAAUCGACUGACAGCUCCAAAAACAAGAGUGCCAGCUCAACAGAGGAGUCUCGUGUCUCCCGCCAGCAUCCAUAAAGCUGCACCAGGCUGACCGGUUAGUUUGCACCCUGGGUAAAUCUCAGACCCUUCGCAGUUCCUGACAGGAGACAACUUUGUAGUCAGGGGCCUGGGAAGCUGAAGCUCCCCUCUCAGAGGUAUGGCAGUGAGAAGAGGAGUCUUGAGGAAAGAGGUGAUGUUCUGGAAUCAUUGUUGGCGGGAUGGAAGCAGGAGCUCAGCAAGGACAAGGAAAAGGCUGGUGUAGAGAGCCCAGCUGAAGCUGACCGUGUGGUGGAAACGGGAGAAGGUGCUGAUCAAGGGAGAUGUAACCUCUACAGGGACUUUCACAACUGAAAACCAUAAAGAUUGAAAUAAAAGACGUGAAACCACC
rnacentral:lncRNA from 1 species